GAAUAUUGGACAAUGGGGGGAACCCUGAUCCAGCCAUGCCGCGUGUGUGAAGAAGGCCUUUUGGUUGUAAAGCACUUUAAGCGAGGAGGAGGAGCUCUUGGUUAAUACCUAAGAUGCUUGGACGUGACUCGCAGAAUAAGGCCCCGCCAACUCUGUGCCAGCAGCCGCGGUAAUACAGAGGGUGCAAACGUUAAUUGGUUUUACUGGGCGUGUAGAGAGCGUAGGUGGCCAAUUAAGUCAAAUGUGAAAUCCCCGAGCUUAACUUGGGAAUUGCGUUCGAUACUGGUUGGCUAGAGUAUGGGAGAGGAUGGUAGAAUUCCAGGUGUAGCGGUGAAAUGCGUAGAGAUCUGGAGGAAUACCGAUGGCGAAGGCAGCCAUCUGGCCUAAUACUGACACUGAGGUGCGAAAGCAUGGGGAGCAAACA
rnacentral:rRNA from 1 species